rnacentral:lncRNA from 1 species
CAGAAACGAAAAUAUCAUACAAAACCAAAUACUUCCGACAGAAUCUAAACCACGUCACCUUCAACAAAAUCUUCCUACUUUCCCUCAACGUUACCUACUCAACACAGAUUACUGGGACCCUUCUUCAGUGGGUCCCAUCUUCUGCUAUUGUGGCAAUAAAGGUGACAUACACAAACGUGUAAUUUGCAUACAUAAGAUCAAGAUGAGGUUCAAUAUCCAUCAUCAUAUACACAAAGGAGCUACAUACAAACUGGUUAUUUACUCUCAGAUAUUUAGUACAUUCAUAAGUUUCUAUGAGCAUAAUUAUCACAACACAAGGAACUCAAGUCACUUCGACAUGGUGUGCAGAUGCCCAUCACUAUGGCUGUUGAUCAAUUCAGCCACCUGAUCCUUGCAACUGCAAAAAGGGAAUGGCAAUCAUAUCAUUGAUGUUGGAAAUAAGAGGAUAUAAUGAAAUUCCAAGUCAUGACAAGAGUUCAAAGAAAAAAGAGAAGAAAAAACAAACAGCCUGUAAGAGAAAGUCAUCAGCUAGGUGUCUCAAAAUAAAACAAUUUGAAUUUAAAAAAAAGAAGCAAUCAAGGAGUUAUAAAUUAAAGGAUUAAGCCAAGCACUAAACAGAGGGCAUUAAGCUAAUAAAGGGCAGUAAAGGGACAGCAUAAAAGCAUAUGCUAAUCAACAUCAGGAAUAUAUAUGAAUGGCCUAUGCAAUUACAGAUUUCAAAUGAAGCCAUUAAGCAAACCAGCAAAAUAGCCAAAUUCAGUUACAAACCCCUACCAACAGUCAAGGGCAAUUUCAAGGUCUCACUAAACCAUGAAAAUUUAAAAGAGAUAAAUCUGAAAGUCUCACUAUUUCAGUUACAAAUCAGCGAUCAUUGACAGCAUUCAUGGGCAGUUAAAAUAUUAUCAGAAAGCAAGAGUCAUGGAAUUUCAGAAAUAUUUCAGUCAGUAAUUCGAAAGGUUUUGCACUAACCCAUACUCAACUAUAAAUAGCGGUUCCAUUCAUCAAGAAAAAAAAAACACUACUGUGCACGUAACAACACGGCCAUAAGAAAUUCAGAGGAAAAAACAAAAGAACCAGAUUACUGGUACACAGUGAGAGAAAGAGAGAUUACGACAUAAAUGUUUUAGAGAAAAUAGAGCACACGCACAGUUCUAUCAGAGCAUACACGCAACACACAGAGAAGAAGGAAGCGUACAUUCAGGUGAGCAUUCAAAAUAUAAAAAGGCUCUGUUUCAUUUGAUUUAUGUUAUAGACUUAUAUGCUUAUUUCAUAAACGUUUCCAAUUGAGCAUAUAAAAUACUUAUUGGUUUCAACGGAAACAUAUAUAUUUACACUCAUACGUGUUAUGAUUCACUUCUAGUAACUGUUUACCCAAAUCGAUUAUUUAUGAUGGAUCAAGUUCAUGCCGUAAAAUUGAAUAAAAAGGAUAAAAAUCAUUACUGAAAUCCUCUAGGUUUUGUGCCGAUGCCAAAUAGCAACCUUAAUGAUAUCCCCACGAAUGAAAUCACAUGUUCAAUCCCCUCCUUAUCCUUAAUGAACCUCAGUGCUGAUAACGAGAAUCAGAAACAACAAAAAAUAAUAAUAAUGCGAAACAAAGGGAGUAGAGUUCGUUACCGACCCGAAGCCACUUCGAUCUGGCCAUGAAUCACCCACGGGCGUGAUCCUCUUUCAUCGUCACGAACCUCUGUCACCACCGAGAGUCAUCACGAACCUCCGUCACCACCGAGAGCCAUCACGAGUCGCGUCAAUGGAGGAUUUACGACGUCGCGAACCAGUGGCGCUUCGCUCCUAAUCGCGAAGCUACUAGAAGCCAAGAAGAAGACGUCCUUGAGGUCUUACCAUGUCGGCACGGCCAGCUCCGUUCCAGCCGUGAAUGCAUCUCCAUUGUCGUGAAAGAGAUGGAGGAGAUAAGGAGAGACGGUGGCCUUCUCAUCACCGUUAAGAACGAAGAAGAAAGACGAAUGGGCGGAUAACCACCGCAACUCGCUAUGAACCCUCGUAAACCACCACCGAAAAAAUAGAGAAGAAGAGAAAUAGGGAUUUCAUCCCUUUAGGUAUAGUUUAGAAAAUGGGGGUAACCGUAUG